UCUAGACCUAGCUGCUGUCGAAGCUCCUCUAUAAACGGAUAAGACUUUGGCCUUAGUGUAUACGAGUUUUUGAACAUAAAGGAGCAAUAACAAACCUUAAGAAGAAAUUUGUUAUUGCUCCUUUCUUUAAUUUAGUAGUUUUUUUCUGACGUGAGUUUUAUUUCUUUUUUUUUUUAGUAUUCUUAUGGACUGGUUCAUCAUUCAAUAUCAUAUUUUUUUUUGUUUUGUAUUAAUUUCUAUAUGUAUAUGUUAUGUUUUAUGUUUUUACAAUUUUUUAUUAAAAAAAGCAAAUAGGGGGGCGGAUGUACCCAAUUGGAUCAAGGCAGGGGAUUGGGAAUCCCCC
rnacentral:misc_RNA from 1 species